rnacentral:rRNA from 1 species
CCUACGGGUGGCAGCAGUCGAGAAUCAUUCACAAUGGGGGAAACCCUGAUGGUGCGACGCCGCGUGGGGGAAUGAAGGCCUUCGGAUUGUAAACCCCUGUCAUGUGGGAGCAAAUUAAAAAGAUAGUACCACAAGAGGAAGAGACGGCUAACUCAGUGCCAGCAGCCGCGGUAAUACAGAGGUCUCAAGCGUUGUUCGGAAUCACUGGGCGUAAAGCGUGCGUAGGCUGUUUCGUAAGUCGUGUGUGAAAGGCGCGGGCUCAACCCGCGGACGGCACCUGAUACUGCGAGACUAGAGUGAUGGAGAGGGAAGCGGAAUUCUCGGUGUAGCAGUGAAAUGCGUAGAUAUCGAGAGGAACACUCGUGGCGAAGGCAGGUUCCUGGACAUUAACUGACGCUGAGGCACGAAGGCCAGGGGAGCGAAAGGGAUUAGAUACCCCUGUAGUC